GACUCAGUAGCUCAGCUGGAUAGAGUGUUUGACUACGAAUCAAAAGGUCGGGGGUUCGAAUCCCUCCUGGGUCA
rnacentral:tRNA from 1 species